UACCAGCACCCCGAGUGGUCGGGACGAUUAUUGGGCCUAAAGCAUCCGUAGCCGGUCAUGCAAGUCCUCCGUUAAAUCCACCUGCUUAACAGAUGGGCUGCGGAGGAUACUACAAGGCUAGGAGGCGGAAGAGGCAAGCGGUACUCAGUGGGUAGGGGUAAAAUCCUCUGAUCCAUUGAAGACCACCAGUGGCGAAGGCGGCUUGCCAAUACGCGCUCGACGGUGAGGGAUGAAAGCUGGGGGAGCAAACCGGG
rnacentral:rRNA from 1 species